rnacentral:rRNA from 1 species
CACGUAGGCACCAAGCGUUGUCCGGAUUUAUUGGGCGUAAAGAGCUCGUAGGCGGCUCGUUGCGUCGGCUGUGAAAACCCGCAGCUCAACUGUGGGCUUGCAGCUGAUACGGGCGGGCUUGGAUUCGGUAGGGGAGACUGGAAUUCCUGGUGUAGCGGUGAAAUGCGCAGAUAUCAGGAGGAACACCGGUGGCGAAGGCGGGUCUCUGGGCCGAUAUCGACGCUGAGGAGCGAAAGCGUGGGGAGCGAACAGG